ensembl:lncRNA
UAAAAAGACCUACUCGGAGGCGACACCUGCAGAGGCGAGCGGUGAGAUCUCAGAACAUGUCACACCCAAGGCCAGGCAUACUGAGGAGAACAUAACAGAAAAAGAAGUAGGAAUAAAUUCCUUCAAAUCCCUUAAGGACUGCUGCAAAACUCUGGUUUUGAACAACUGGGUGAACGAUCUCUUUGAAUGCAAAGCAGGAAGUUAUUAGUGGAUCGUCGUAGGAAACGUCAACCUGCUCGUUUGGCACACGCGCAGGACUACUUUGCUAAGAAAGCAAUGGAAACCCAGAUGGGAUAUAAUUCCAACACAGAUGAAAGUACCACAUCCAUCCCAAGGCUGAGUAUACCAAGUAGAACCGACUUGCCGGUUGUCCACGGCCAACAAGGAUACGGUAUGGACACACCACCAAUACUAAUGUACCACCAGUUCCCUUUGCUUUCCCUGGAUUGGGGCAGUACAACAACAACACCUCCCCAAGCAAACCCUCCAGAUGCCUACCGUGAAACAAGCCAUCAGGAAGAAGAUCACCAAGCCCUAUCGACCUCUAAGGCCUGGCAAGCAUUUCUUAAUGGCACUGAUACGCAGGACCAAGUAUGUGUCCGUCCAGAGUCAGAAGUUGUAGCUUUAAGGGACAAAGUCGUAGUCCCAACGGAGGACAAAGGAGUUGAGAAAGACCUAAGCAAAGAGUCUGCUGACAGGAAAGCAAUAGAAACUGUAAAAUUUGAUCCUGUAGUAGAGCAAUCAAAGGAUCUGAGCAUGAGUCCUUCUAGAGAUCAGGUUGUGGAUUACCAACUAGUGAAAGAGCCAAGGGUCACUACCCUACCAUGUUCUGCCCAGGGAUCAGAGCCAGAGAGUGCGGUAAGUGAGUUAGAGACAUCUCGUGACCGCCAAGCCCCACAUCAUGAGCACACAAGCCGAUCUUGGAGUCAAGACAUGACUAAAGCAAGCCCUGGGGGCGAAACUCGAACCUCACAUGACACUGAGACUAAGAAUUCAGAAGCCGGAGAUGGAAUCUCACCUGAAGAAUGCAUGGGCAGCUCCGACACCUCAAAGGUUAAAGAAAACACACACAGAGCGGUCAAAGACACCCUGACAUUUACAGCGAUCAGGGACGUGCCGCUCACAAAUAGACAGGCCGAGGGAUCUUCUUCAGAAAGGAAGGAUAUAAAUAAAGAUGCCAGUGAGGAGCAGGUGGAAAUGAGGGAAGAACUACAUGAAGAGGAAACGGAAAGCAGUAGAAAAGGAAAAGAUGAGACAACUACAGAUCACAGCGCAGAAAUACAGAACGUUUCAUCGUGCGAGAGGGAAGCAUUUAAUGAGAACGAAUUAUGCACGUCGAACAAGAUUUUAAACAAAGACGGUUCAGAGCUACUGAAAAUCGAAAAGAGGCGUUUUGAGGCAAACAAAGGACUUCAAAUGAAGGAGCGACUGAAUGAGACGACUAUAGAACCUGCUAGUGCUGAAGAGCUUGUAGAGGACUCCCAAGCAGUGGAUGACAAUUGUACAGAUGGAGAAGAGAAAGAGUUUGAGAGUCAUGCUACCAAAUUUGUACCCACCCACUUACCUACCUAUCCAACAGUUAGCAUUCACUCAUCCAGGCACCUCCUUCAGACAACAUCUGCAAAGGAAAGAGAGGUCACUUUUGCAGAGGAGGACUUUGAGCUUGGGAAGACCCUCAGAAACGUUCAAGAACCCCAGCGACUGGAUGGAGAGGAUGAACUCUCCACGCCGUUACCCAGCAUUCACCUGUCCUGGGUGGACGGCAACAGCAGUAGGCUGUUAUCAUGGUGGAGGGAGCUCUGCUCGCUGGGUCACAUGGCCAAGGCUCUUGUGUAUGCUGUUCUGUUUGUGAUCUUCAUAACGGCGUAUCUCUACGACCUGCCGACCUGCAUGGCCCUCUAUCUGUUUUCUCUGUGCUGGUGGUGCAGCCAGGGCAUGAAGCAGCGGGCCUGUCGAUGUGGACUGAGACCAGACAGGAAGCUCUUGAAAGUUUCUGAGGAAGUUCUUGUCAAAUUAUGCGACUCUGAAAUGAAAAGUGACACAAAGUGA